UCGUACAGGUAGCCGUAGAGUUGAUCUCGGCGGACGGGUGAGUAAUGCCUAGGAAUCUGCCUGGUAGUGGGGGACAACGUUUCGAAAGGAACGCUAAUACCGCAUACGUCCUACGGGAGAAAGCAGGGGACCUUCGGGCCUUGCGCUAUCAGAUGAGCCUAGGUCGGAUUAGCUAGUUGGUGGGGUAAUGGCUCACCAAGGCGACGAUCCGUAACUGGUCUGAGAGGAUGAUCAGUCACACUGGAACUGAGACACGGUCCAGACUCCUACGGGAGGCAGCAGUGGGGAAUAUUGGACAAUGGGCGAAAGCCUGAUCCAGCCAUGCCGCGUGUGUGAAGAAGGUCUUCGGAUUGUAAAGCACUUUAAGUUGGGAGGAAGGGCAGUAAGUUAAUACCUUGCUGUUUUGACGUUACCGACAGAAUAAGCACCGGCUAACUCUGUGCCAGCAGCCGCGGUAAUACAGAGGGUGCAAGCGUUAAUCGGAAUUACUGGGCGUAAAGCGCGCGUAGUGGUUUGUUAAGUUGGAUGUGAAAGCCCCGGGCUCAACCUGGGGAACUGCCAUCCAAAACUGGGAAGCUAGAGUACGGUAGAGGGUGGUGG
rnacentral:rRNA from 1 species